ensembl:lncRNA
CCCCACCCCACCCUCCUCCUGCUCUCCUCUCCCUCCUCCACCUCUCCCCAUCUCCCGCGCCUCCACCCCCACCCCACCCUCCUCCUGCUCUCCUCUCCCUCCUCCACCUCUCUCCAUCUCUCGCACCUGUUCUCCCCUCCCCCUCUGCCGAUCCUGGGGAUCCGACCCCCGCUCCCCCCACCCACCUCUUCCAUCCUGGUCCGUCCUCCCAUCAGACCCCGAGAGCCCCGAGGACGAGGACACGACUGCCCUGCUGGGGAGGAACGCAGACACCCUCCUCCACAUUUCAGAGGACAAUGGGGGCACAGAGAACCCCCUACUCGCCCCCUGCUCUCCCCCGCCGCUUGCCCGCCCUGGCCCCACACCACUCCCCCCGCCCUGCCCCCCGCCGCUCCCCCCUCCCCAUCUCCCCAGUCGACCUGGACCUGGAUGAGUCCCACGUCUGAGAAGCGUCCCUGUAACGUUUCAGUAACGUUUUGUUAACAUUUCAGUAACAAAACUCGAAACGUAACGUUAUAACUAGGGCCAGGAGUUUUUCCCUGACUGAACUUGCGUGACCGCACUAGGAAAAAGUCCUGGCCCUAGUUACAAGGUUCUAAACUACAGACGUAGGCUAUAACUAGGGCCCGGAGUUUUGACCCUUUAGGUUAAAUCACAAGGUCCGGCUGGGGAAACUCCUGGCCCUAGUUAUGACCCUGGCAGGGUAGCUACUCUGUGUCGGUCCCCUUCUAUAUCUUUGGAGUCUGUGUUUAGACAUUGAGCUGCCUGAUAACCUUCUAGCUAACGGAGGUCAGAGGGCGCUUGAAAAAUGAACCUGUUGGAAUACUCUAAAAAUAAAAAUGCAUCCUCCCUUCCUUGAUCUGAUCUGACAUAAAAUGACUGGUGAAAUCAGUGCAGUAGAAUCCUUGCUCUCACCUAUCCAAUCACAUUAGAUUAGUGAUUACCUCAAGAAAAAGAAGGGAGGAAACAUGCAUCUUUAGAGUAUUAGAACAGGGCCAAGGACCAAUACCUGUUAGUGUUCUCCUCUUGCCCACUCCCCUGCCCCUCUCUCCCCUUCUCUCUCUGCUCUCUUCUGUCCUGUUAGAGCACCAAGAUGAAAUCCAUACUUCACUAUGUCUACAGUACCAGUGACAGUACAUCCUCACCUCUGACAUUUUAACCCAUCUCAUACCAAAGUAUUCAAAUCAAAUGCAGAAUCAACAUGCCUUCUUCACACGUCAGGGUGGAUUAAUCCAUGGAGUCCCAACAGGUGAUCAAGUGGGACUGUUACUGUUGCUAGGUAGAUCACAUUCUAUUUGUUGUGGUCUAUUGAAAAGAGAAGGGAGAGUGUUUCCAGCCAUUGGCUGCUACAAACAGACAUCUGUUUACCUUUUGGUUGACCUUGUCACCUCCCAAGAACUGUUUACAGUGAAUCUGCUGAAGGGUAAACUGUUGACUAGAGAAAUUAAAUGUACAUUAGCUAUGAUAUUAUAUAAUAUUAUGAAAUGUAUUAUAUUUAAUCCUGAAGACUAUUUUAAAGAAAGAUUUAAUAUAUAUAAUUGUCAAAGUAUUGCAGAGAGGCAUAGUAUGUUUGUCAUUAGGAUAAUAUAUUAGUGGCCUCCCAGGUGGCCACACUGCGGUCUAGGGCACUGCAUCGCAGUGAGGCGUCACUACAGACCCGGGUUCGAUCCCAGGCUGUGUCACAACCAGCCGUGACCUGGAGUCCCAUAGGGCGGUGCACAAUUGGCCCAGCGUGGUCUGGGUUAGGGGAGGGUUGGGCCGGGGGGGGCUUUACUUGGCUCAUUGUGCUCUAGUGACUCCUUGUGGCGGGCCGGGCACCUGCAGGCUGACAUUAGAAGUCAGUUAAACGGUGUUUCCUCUGACACAUUGGUGCAUCUGGCCUCCGGGUUAAGUGGGUGGGUGUUAAGGAGCGUGGUUUGGCUGCUAAUGUUUCAGAGGACGCAUGACUCAACCUUUGCCUUUUUUUGUGAGAAAAAGGGGGGAAAACCAGAAUGUUUAUUUAUUAAUAGAUGGAUAGAUUGACAUAAUUAUUUAUAAAAUAUUUAUCCUCUUGGGGUUUCUAGGUUUGAUUUAUUGACAAUUGACACACUGAGUGGUUGUUAUUUUCCUGUGGAAGUUGAGUCUGUUAGAUGAGAAGAGGUUCUUUAUGGAGGUUGAGUCUGUUAGAUGAGAAGAGGCUCUUUAUGGAGGUUGAGUCUGUUAGAUGAGAAGAGGCUCUUUAUGGAGGUUGAGUCUGUUAGAUGAGAAGAGGUUCUUUAUGGAGGUUGAGUCUGUUAGAUGAGAAGAGGUUCUUUAUGGAGGUUGAGUCUGUUAGAUGAGAAGAGGUUCUUUAUGGACGUUGAGUCUGUUAGAUGAGAAGAGUCCAAAGCGCUAUAAGUGGGGCAGGUCAUACUUGGAAGACAAUCCUAACAUCAACUGAAGUAAAAUUAGGGUCUCCAUAUAGCUGAGGUUCAGCAUUGUAGCACGCUUGAAAUGUGAAGGUAAUUUCAGAUUGAGCCGUCAUAAGUCACUUCAACGGUUAAAAGUUGGGUAAAAAUAAGUUGAUUCAACGUCAUCACGGUGAUUAUUUUGGUUGAAAUGAGGUGGAAACAAUGUUGAUACAACCAGUUUUGGCCCAGUGGAUGAAUGUUGUUUUAUGUGUAAUCAAAUCCAGGUUCUGUUUUGAAUAGCCUCCAACGUAAUACUGACCUUCUGUCGUACUGAAAGCAUCAUGCAUAAAGAAUAGGUAACUGGUUAUGGGCACCGAGGUAUUAUUAGUAUGUCCCAGUAGUGUCAUAGAGUUUAUAAUGAUGCUUUUUAUUGUUGUGUUUUCAAUGUCUUGAAGAAAGGUUUCUAGUCCUCAAAACAUUAUGGCAACAAGAUCCCUGAUUCUGAGUUGUAGCAGUUAGGAUACCUCCUUGUUCAACUUAUGCCUUAAACUAGAGAACUGGGAGGACCCCUCCAGCUCCUUAAUAAUGGUCUGUUCCCUGACUGAGGUCCUCUUAUGUGCCAUGGGGCUUGGUACAGUCCAAACCUGAGAUGGGUGUGCUGCAGUCUACUAUCUUCUGGUUAAUGUUGGUUUUGCACCAGAUCAGUGAAAUGAGGAUGUAGUUAUGAACUAAACUGUGUAAAAAAACAUUAGGAACAACUUCCUAAUAUUGAGUUGCACACCCUUUUCCCCCUCAAAACAGCUUCAAUUCGUCGAGGCACGGACUCUAAAGUUGUGGAAAGCGUUCCACAGGGAUGCUGGCCCAUGUUGACUCCAAUGCUUCCCACAGUUGUGUCAUGUUCGCUGGAUGUCCUUUGGGUGGUGGACCAUUCUUGAUACACAUGGGAAACUGUUGGGUGUGAAAAACCCAGAAGCGUUGCAGUUCUUGACACAAACCGGUGCCCCUGGCAGCUACUACCAUAUCCCCUUGAAAGGCACUUAAAUCAUUAGUCUUGCCUAUUUACCCUCUGAAUGGCACACAUACACAAUCCAUGUCUCAAUUGUCUCAAGGCUUAAAAAUCAUUCUUUAACCUCUCCUCCCCUUCAUCUACACUGACUGAAGUGGAUUUAUGAGGGAUCAUAGCUUUCACCUGGAUUCACCUGGUCAGAGCAGGUGUUCCUAAUGGUUUGUACACUCAGUUAUAUGUGAAAGAAAGAAUCCUGAAUAUCUUCUACCAUUUCCCCCUGUUUGACGGCAUCAGUGCAGAAGCAUUAGUAGUGAUAUGAAUAGGUGCCAUAAUGCACAUAUGACUAUUGCACUGUGAGUCGGUCUCAUAGCUGUGUCUGCUUCUGUGUGUGAUCUAAAUAUACUGCUGUGUAGUUCCCUGGUUAUCAGAUCUAUAGUGCUGGUUAUCAGAUCUAUAGUGCCCAUAUCGUUAGAGGGGAUUCUAUUUCAAUGAUAAUAUCACUAUAGUUCAUUCUAGAACCCAGGGGGAUAUUACAAAAGUCUAUUAUACUGUAUAAGCCAAUUAUACUGUAGGCGACAUAUUCUGGUGUCCCUGUGGACAUGUGUUGUCUUGUCAGUGCUAACGGUCAGUGUCUGUCUGUGUGUGUAGUGCCAAUGCUCUCUGCUGCGGAGCUGUCCUUGUGCAGAUGCUUUCUGGGAGGUUGGCAUGGAGACUUAUUCAUCAAACGUGCCAUAUAUUCCAAAGUCAUCUGCAUUCUGCAGUUUGUCCCAUGUAAUGUACUGUUGAAGUGCUCUACUUCCAACUGGAACUGUUUUGGGUGAGCGAUCUAUUUAGGAUCGCAAAAUGUCUAACUUUUCCAAAAUAACCAGGUUUUCCAGAAAUCUUGGUUGGAGGAUUCCCGGAUUUCUUGUUUAUUACUUUCGGAUUCCUUGACUCUUCCAACUAGUAUAUCAGGAGUUUGAGGAAAGUCACCAGAAUUUGGAGACCUGAGUUCUAUUUCAUUGUCAAUUACAAUGUGUAGUACCGGUGAGCACACUGUACUGCUUUAAACAUAAUCAGAAAAUGAUAUUUUUAGAUGACUGCCAACUCAUAGCUAACGCGUGAUGAUGUUCGUCGCAAUGAAAUAUGUUUCUAGUUUAGUUAUAUUUCUUACAUGUUAUGGAGGAUAGCUGGAUCUGUGUUGUUCUGGCUCUGGGAAUAACCUUUCCAUAAACUAGUCCUAGUCCUAUCCACAUUCUAGGGGCGGCAGGUAGCCUAGUGGUUAGAGCGUUGGACAAGUAACUGAAAGGUUGCAAGGUCAAAUCCCCGAGCUGACAAGGUAAAAAAAAGGCUGUCGUUCUGCCCCUGAACAAGGCAGUUAACUCACUGUUCCUAGGCCAUCAUUGAAAAUAAGAAUGUGUUCUUAACUGACUUGCCUAGUUAAAUAAAGAUAACAUGCUGUAUGGUGGAGCUGUGAGAUAUUCAGAAGUGUGUGUGUCAAAUGCAGGGGCCCCCAGGGGUGGUUAGCAGUGGAGGCUGGUGGGAGGAGCUAUAGGAAGACAGGCUCAUUGUAAUGGCUGGAAUGGAACCAUGUUUCACUCUGUUCCAUUGAUGUCAUUACAAUGAGCCUGUCCUCCUAUAGCUCCUCCCACCAGACUCCUCAGGUGGAAGUGACAUUAUGGCCUAGAUAAUAUAAUAUAUUAUAUUUUGAUAUUUUAUUUCUCCAAAUAUAUAUUAACAUCAGCAUUUGUUCACAUGCAUUUGUUCAUAUUCAAUCAUGGUUCCAUCGACAUAUAUUUUUUCCUCUGUGUGACUCUGAAAUAUAUCGUAUUAUAUACUUAAGAUAUUUAUUUCAAAUGAUUGUCUUGUCCUGUGUUCUCAAUCUAUUCUAAAAUAUAGCUAUAUCAAAGUAUUUAUGAAAUAUUUAAAGAAUAAAUGGAUAUUGUUGUAUACAAUGUUAUUUAUUUUCCCUCCCUAAUUGUUUCCUUCUCUUGUAAUAUCUUGAACUGUCACUAACUGCCAACUAAAUGUCAGAUUAGAGGGCAUUUAAUGUGGUUCAGAUAAAACUACCACACAAUCACCCACAGAUGGCG